CGUGCAGGUGGUUCGGUAAGUUGGAUGUGAAAGCUCCUGGCUCAACUGGGAGAGGUCGUUCAAAACUACCGGACUUGAGAGCAGUAGAGGGAGGUGGAAUUCCCGGUGUAGUGGUGAAAUGCGUAGAUAUCGGGAGGAACACCAGUGGCGAAAGCGGCCUCCUGGACUGUUUCUGACACUCAGACGCGAAAGCUAGGGUAGCAAACGGGAUUAGAGACCCCGGUAGUCCUAGCUGUAAACGAUGUGAACUUGGCGUCGGCGGGUUCAAAGCCGUCGGCGCCGAAGCCAACGCGAUAAGUUCACCGCCUGGGGACUACGGCCGCAAGGUUAAA
rnacentral:rRNA from 1 species